rnacentral:rRNA from 1 species
UACAGAGGUGGCAAGCGUUGUUCGGAAUUACUGGGCGUAAAGGGCGCGUAGGCGGCCUUGUAAGUCUCGUGUGAAAGCCCUCGGCUUAACUGAGGAUCUGCACGGGAUACUGUAAGGCUCGAGUUCGGGAGAGGAAAGCGGAAUUCCGGGUGUAGCGGUGAAAUGCGUAGAUAUCCGGAGGAACACCAGUGGCGAAGGCGGCUUUCUGGACCGACACUGACGCUGAUGCGCGAAAGCUAGGGGAGCAAACAGG